UUUCCGUGACGCAGCUAACGCAUUAAGUUCCCCGCCUGGGAGUACGGCCGCAAGGCUAAAACUCAAAGGAAUUGACGGGGACCCGCACAAGCGGCGGAGCAUGCGGAUUAAUUCGAUGCAACGCGAAGAACCUUACCAAGGCUUGACAUACACCAGAACGGGCCAGAAAUGUCAACUCUUUGGACACUGGUGAACAGCUGGUGCAUGGUGGUCGUCAGCUCGUGUCGUGAGAUGAUGGGUUAAGUCCCGCAACGAGCGCAACCCUCGUUGUAUGUAGCCAGCAUGUAAUGGUGGGAACUCAUGGGAUACCGCCGGGGUCAACUCGGAGGAAGGUGGGGAAGACGUCAAAUCAUCAUGCCCCUUAUGUCUUGGGCUUCACGCAUGGUACAAUGGCCGGUACAAAGGGCUGCAAUUCCGUGAGGUGGAGCGAAUUCCAAAAAGCCGGUCCCAGUUCGGAUUGAGGUCUGCAACUCGACCUCAUGAAGUCGGAGUCGCUAGUAAUCGCAGAUCAGCAACGCUGCGGUGAAUACGUUCCCGGGUCUUGUACACACCGCCCGUCAAGUCAUGAAAGUCGGUA
rnacentral:rRNA from 1 species